CAAGGAGUCACAACGGCAACCUCGUCCGCCUCCACCUCGCGAGCGGCAACUCGAGCCGGGCUCCAGCAAGACGGAUCCAGUGGAGGGCGAGGUGGUGCGAGCAAGGCGGAUCCGAUGGAGGCCGGCAGCGGCGGUGAGGGGAGGAGCCAGAUCUAGUGGCCAGGAGGGCGGACCCGGGCACGGCGGUGAGGGAGGAUACAGGCUUUUUUUUGUUUUUUAUUUUAUUAACCGAGGCGGGCAUCAAACCACCUCGGUAAUUCGUUGAUUUACCACGACCUUAGCUCUGAGGUGGUUGCGAUGUCCGCCUCGGAAAAAAAAUUAUGUAGUAGUGAAGCUCUCUUUUGAUUGCUAUUUGUAGCAGCUUCCUUAUCCGAUGCACUAAUCUUCUAAACCUUAUGGGGUGGCUCCCCAUUUUCAGAAAUUGGUGGCAGUGCAGGUGUUGGCAUCGGAUUGGUAAGUUCGACAUCUUUCUCAGAAAUACACUCCGACAUUGUGGCAACCAGGACUAUGUGUAGGCUUCGGCCAUGCCACCAAGGACCCCACGUUAGCUUGUAGCAUUGAUCUAUCAUCGUCCAUGGUCGUUUCCAACUCAACUGUGUCGUCUCAUCCUUAGCCAAUGUAUCUAGGGUAACUACUGCAUAGCCUGGAGGCAACGGACAUCCAUUCAUCAUAUUCCCUGGAUGAACCUGACCGGCAGCCACCCCAUGCUUAAAUACCGCCUUGCAUCCUUAUGACUCGUUGUAUAGCAAGCAACAUGUAGGUUCGCUGAUGCCAUCCAUGUCGAAGGUGGAACUUGCAUCUACUUCUGCAAGUUGUGUGCUUCCGCAGCUGCUGCGUACCCGUUCUGAGCUGAAGUAUGCCUAGGAAGCUUGUUCCGCUUAUCUUUGAGACUCGUAUGUGGCAGUCAAUUCCACCUGCUUUUCUUUCCAUUUGGCCUUGAACAUAGCUAACAUUUCUUCAUGCACACUUGCAAUGUUUCUGGCUUUAUUUCUCGCACGACUAUCAGCUUUUCUAGGAUAUAGUCGCACCCACAGACCAACACC
rnacentral:lncRNA from 1 species